AGGGGAACGAAGUCAAGAAGGCCACAUGUCCUGGCUUCCAGGCUUGGUGUCCUCAGAAGCCUCCAGAACGUCCAUGGAACCCGCCCCUGCGCCCACCGCCUCCUGCUGUCUUUCCAGCUGAGUUCCGGCUGCCCCUCACCCUCGGCUUCUUCACUCUGCCUCUCCCCAGCCAGCGCCCUGCUCCCCGGUCCUCAACCACCACCUUCCACCUGCCUGGGCCUUCAUCGCCUCCGAGCUCCCCUUCCACACCAAACCUGGCGUCCGUUUUCCUCCAGGCCUGCACCAGCACAGCUGAAGGGGAGAGAGACCCAACCUCAUCCACUGGGCCUCCCCUCAACCAGGGCCACAACCUCAAGGGGCCAUGCCACCUCCAACACCUAUUUCCCACCUUCUACUCUCUCCACACCCUGGGACACCACCCGCCUCUCUCAGCUGACGUUUUCCUUCUUGUUUUGUGUGCAUGGUGCUUGUGUGAGAAAGUGGACACACACCUGAACCCAGCUAUUUCUGCUGCAGCCUGGUUCAUUGUGGGAGAAUGUCAUGCAGAGCCCGGGAUCUGGCUCCGGAUGUGCUCAUUGCUACUGGGGUGUCAUUGCAGCUGGCGGAGCAAGGGAACACAUCUAUGUACAUG
rnacentral:lncRNA from 10 species